rnacentral:rRNA from 1 species
AACGAACGCUGGCGGCAGGCUUAACACAUGCAAGUCGAGCGCCCCGCAAGGGGAGCGGCAGACGGGUGAGUAACGCGUGGGAACCUACCCUUUUCUACGGAAUAACGCAUGGAAACGUGUGCUAAUACCGUAUACGCCCUUAGGGGGAAAGAUUUAUCGGAGAAGGAUGGGCCCGCGUUGGAUUAGCUAGUUGGUGGGGUAAAGGCCUACCAAGGCGACGAUCCAUAGCUGGUCUGAGAGGAUGAUCAGCCACAUUGGGACUGAGACACGGCCCAAACUCCUACGGGAGGCAGCAGUGGGGAAUAUUGGACAAUGGGCGCAAGCUUGAUCCAGCCAUGCCGCGUGAGUGAAGAAGGCCUUAGGGUUGUAAAGCUCUUUCGCCGGUGAAGAUAAUGACGGUAACCGGAGAAGAAGCCCCGGCUAACUUCGUGCCAGCCGCCGCCGUAAUAC